UGUGGACUCGGAAUAUUUCUGAUUCUUUAUUGUUUUCUAUAUUUCUUUAUUCUUCUAACAGUUUUGUUUUCUGAUUUUUGUUUUAACACAGUAACGCUCAGAAGAUAUACAUUAGCUGUACUCAUGACGGACAAACAGUAUCUUAAACCCCAUGACGGACAGCUUUAUUCCUGAUAAACACAAGACCUCAUGAAAGGUAUCAGGAAAUAUUAUAGGAACAAACACAAACUCAAUCUGAUAUUGAUCAGUGGAAAGUGUAUUACGAAGCCGUGGGAGGGGAAAAGAAGAGAAAAGUAUAUGGUCUUGGAUCUCAAGCAAAAUGCUACUAUGAACCGAAUCUUCGUGGCUCUUCUGGAUCAGAUGCUUCAUCGUCAAUACCACCUUCGUGUGCUCAAUCAACAUCGAACCUGGAUGAGUUAGCGAUGCAUUUGAUUCCUACACUAACAGAGCACAUAGUUCCUUUGCUAACUGAUAAAAUGCUUCCAGUAUUGAUUGAGCGGGUGCGUGAAAUGAUUUCGUCACCCUCACUGACUUCUACUGACCACCCACUAGAUGUGGUACCAACAAUUCAUGCUCCUCCUACUGCUACUGUUCAUGGGGUUCAUCCAUCGGUUUCAGAUGAUGACCUUAACCCCUAAGCCUCGUAUUUGGUUUGGAAGCUUUUUGUUUUGAACUUUAUUGUUGGUGUUAGGGAUAAUUCGCACCUUUUUGGUUUGAACUUUAUUAUUGGUGUUAGGGAUAAUUCGAACUUCAUUGUAUUAGCUAUAUGCAUUUUGAAAUCAUUUUGGACCUUGAAGUA